rnacentral:rRNA from 1 species
AGUAAUGUAUGGGGAUCUGCCCGAUAGAGGGGAAUAACUACUGGAAACGGUGGCUAAUACCGUAUAAUGUCUACGGACCAAAGCAGGGGCUCUUCGGACCUUGCACUAUCGGAUGAACCCAUAUGGGAUUAGCUAGUAGGUGGGGUAAAGGCUCACCUAGGCGACGAUCUCUAGCUGGUCUGAGAGGAUGAUCAGCCACACUGGGACUGAGACACGGCCCAG